GGAAGGGUGGCAGAGCGGUUGAAUGCAGCGGUCUUGAAAAUCGCCGGCGGUGUGAUGCCGCCCGUGGGUUCGAAUCCCACCCCUUCCGCCA
rnacentral:tRNA from 1 species